CCUACGGGAGGCUGCAGUGGGGAAUAUUGCGCAAUGGGCGCAAGCCUGAUGCAGCCAUGCCGCGUGUGUGAAGAAGGCCUUCGGGUUGUAAAGCACUUUCAGCGGGGAGGAAGGCGUUAAGGUUAAUAACCUUGGCGAUUGACGUUACCCGCAGAAGAAGCACCGGCUAACUCCGUGCCAGCAGCCGCGGUAAUACGGAGGGUGCAAGCGUUAAUCGGAAUUACUGGGCGUAAAGCGCACGCAGGCGGUCUGUCAAGUCGGAUGUGAAAUCCCCGGGCUCAACCUGGGAACUGCAUUCGAAACUGGCAGGCUAGAGUCUUGUAGAGGGGGGUAGAAUUCCAGGUGUAGCGGUGAAAUGCGUAGAGAUCUGGAGGAAUACCGGUGGCGAAGGCGGCCCCCUGGACAAAGACUGACGCUCAGGUGCGAAAGCGUGGGGAGCAAACAGGAUUAGAUACCCCAGUAGUC
rnacentral:rRNA from 1 species